AUCCACACAUUCUCCCUCUCCCCUUCGCUCACUGUGAGGCUAAUGGCCACCGUAUCCCGGCCACCGUUUUUCAACCCGACCCGCCCCAAGAACCAAAUUGUCUGCGGAAAACCCAACAACGGCGACUCCUCCGCCUUCCAAGAGAAGAAGCAGGUCUCCGUGGACUACGACCACGGCACUCACCACGUCUCCACCCGAAUCACCGGCCUCACCAAACAACACAUCCCCAAACGCCAUCGUUUACGAGUCGAAACCGAGCGUUUCCAGAAGGACUGGGCCGUCUCCGACGUCGUCGACCGCCUCUACAAGCUCCGCCACUGGGAGGACAUCGAGGGCUUACUCAAUCAAUGGGUCGGGCGCUUUGCUCGUAAGAACUUCCCUGUUCUCAUCAAGGAAAUGACAGAGAGGGGUUCGGUGGAACACUGUGUGCGAGUGUUCGGGUGGAUGAAGAACCAGAAGAACUAUUGUGCUCGCACUGACAUGUAUAAUAUGAUGAUCAGAUUGCACGCUCGGCAUAAUCUUGUCGAUAAAGCUCGCGGCUUGUUUUUCGAAAUGCAAGAGUGGAGGUGCAAGCCUGAUGCUGAGUCCUACAAUGCUCUUAUCAAUGCACAUGGUCGAGCAGGUCAAUGGCGUUGGGCCAUGAAUCUUAUGGAUGACAUGUUGCGUGCAGCUAUCCCUCCUAGUAGAUCAACAUAUAACAACUUGAUCAAUGCUUGUGGAUCUAGUGGAAAUUGGAGGGAAGCUUUGAAAGUAUGCAAGAAAAUGACAGAUAAUGGAGUUGGGCCUGAUCUUGUGACUCACAAUAUUGUUUUAUCUGCAUACAAAACUGGGGCUCAGUAUUCAAAGGCUUUAUCUUAUUUUGAACUUAUGAAGGGAACUAAUAUCCGUCCAGACACAACCACCCUUAAUAUUGUUAUAUAUUGCCUUGUAAAGCUUGGACAAUAUGGGAAAGCCAUUGAUAUUUUCAGCUCUAUGAGAGAUAAGAGAGCUGAAUGCCGUCCUGACAUUGUGACAUUCACCAGCAUCAUUCAUCUGUAUUCUAUGUCCGGGCAGAUAGAAAAUUGUACAGCUGUAUUCAGUACAAUACUUGCAGAAGGCCUAAAACCUAACAUUGUUUCAUACAAUGCACUAUUGGGUGCAUAUGCUUCACAUGGGAUGAGCGCAGAGGCAUUGUCAGUUUUUAAUGAGAUAAAGAAAAGUAGUUUCCGGCCAGAUGUUGUGUCGUAUACAUCCCUACUCAAUUCAUACGGAAGAUCACAACAACCUCAAAAGGCCAGGGCAGUUUUUGACAUGAUGAAGAGAAACAACUUGAAGCCAAAUCUUGUGAGCUAUAACGCACUGAUUAAUGCCUAUGGAUCUAAUGGUUUAUUAGCUGAAGCGGUAGAAGUCUUGCGUGAGAUGGAGCGAGAUGGAAUUCAUCCAAACAUUGUCUCAAUAUGUACACUUUUGGCAGCUUGUGGACAAUGCGGUCAGAAGGUGAAAAUUGAUGCCGUGCUUUCAGCAGCGAAGCUGCGAGGCAUUGAAUUGAACACAAUUGCAUUUAAUUCAGCUAUUGGAAGCUAUAUGAAUUUGGGAGAACAUGAGAAAGCUAUAAACUUGUAUCAAUCUAUGAGAAAGAAGAAAGUUAAACCGGAUUCUGUUACAUACACUGUGUUGAUAAGUGGCUGUUGUAAGAUUUCAAAACACAGUGAGGCAAUAACAUUUUUUGAUGAAAUGGUGGAUUUGAAAAUUCUUGUUUCCAAAGAGGUCUACUCAUCUGUGAUCUCUGCCUACAGCAAGAUGGGCCAACUUACAGAAGCAGAAUCUAUAUUCAACUUGAUGAAAACGGCUGGUUGUGCUCCUGAUGUAGUUACAUAUACUACAAUGCUGCAUGCGUAUAGUGCUGCUGAGAAUUGGGAAAAGGCUUGUGUUCUAUUCCAAGAAAUGGAAACUAAUGGCAUCCAACUAGAUGUCAUUGCAUGCUCAGCUUUAAUGAGAGCUUUUAACAAAGGAGGCAACCCAUCCAGGGUUCUUAUUCUGGCUGAAAUCAUGCGAGAAAAAGAAAUUCCUUUCAGUGAUGCCAUUUUCUUUGAAAUGGUAUCAGCCUGUAGCUUAUUACAAGAUUGGAGAACAACAAUGGAAUUGAUUAAGUUGAUUGAGCCCUCACUACCUGGAGUUUCAAUUGGACUUGUGAAUCAACUUCUGCGUAUUCUUGGAAGAAGUGGAAAGAUUGAAACUAUGAUGAAGUUAUUCUACAAGAUAGUGGCAUCCAGUGGUGAUAUCAAUUUUGAUACUUAUUCAAUUUUGUUGAAGAAUCUCCUGUCUGUCGGAAAUUGGAGAAAAUAUUUUGAGGUACUACAAUGGAUGGUGGAUGCUGGAAUUCGACCGUCAAGCCAAAUGUACCUUGAUAUAUCAUCUUUUGCACACAAAAGCGCUGGAGCUGAAUAUGCUACUCUUAUAAAAGAAAGAAUUGAACUUUUAAAAAGAAAAUCUGGGUACCAAGAUUUGACAAGCGAGCCCUGCGAUACACAUUCCACCUCUUCGCUGAUAAGUAGAACGAAGGAAGAGAACCACAGGCUGCUGGAGUCAACAAUGGCUGGUACAUAUGCAGUUGCCGAGUACCAUCUGUAACAUAUUUGAUAGGCCGAAAUGCAAUAUAGGAGAUGAUGUGUAAGUUUUGUAGAGCUCAUCCGAGAUGAGAAUGGUAGGAAUGUUAGUAAUUGCCCGAUAUAUAGCCUGUAAAUGAAUUCUUAUUCCACAUUCAUGUGUAUCUGUUUGGACAGAACCAAAUUGCAGUCUCUCCAACCAUUUCGAUUUAAACAGAUUCAAGUUAAAGUGGUAUAAUUUGUAAUCUCAAAGACUCAAGGUGAUGUAGCAUGAUUAAUGGUACCGUAGAUUUCUAGUUA